UGCAUAUACAGCAUGAGCGAUCACCUUGGGGGCAUAGGCGUAGCAGGUCUAGCAGAGGUCUAGAAAAAUCUGCCAAGAAGCCUUUCCUUGAUGACACGCUUGCUGUAGCAGUAGUACUAUUGAGCGUGACACUUGUGACUGUUGGAACCUGAACAAAUUGCGAGGCAAUUCACCAUGCAUGUGUCACGUGUAUUGCUCUGAGCAUCCCAACAUUCUUGAUGGUCUCAUACCUCAAUAAGUCUUUCGACAGAUUUCCAUGUGGCCGUUGCCACACCCUGCAUGUCACUUAGUGAUUAUCGUCUGAUUCAAACAACAAAAUCUCACUGCCUUUGUGUGAUGACAUAGUUGCCUAAUGCGAAGUGACGAACACAAUACCCUCACCUCAAAGUCGGUGUCAGGGGUUCGGGUUGCGUCGACAGUGUUAGCUCUGACACCUGCAAGAUGGCAGAAGUUCAUGCUACAGCAGCGCAAAGAAUGUUUCCUCAUCAUUAGAUGUAGUUAUUACAUAAAGUCAACACGCUGCCAAACGGUAUGACCCAGGUAUUGCGAGGUCGUACGAGAUCAACUUACUCGACAGCAUAUCACAGGUAUGUAAAAAGUGGAACCAGCACAUACCUUUGACGAGGGAACAUGACCUCUGUUGAGAAGAUAUCAAAACAAGGACUGCCAGCAGCCAAAAUCCUGCAUCGUGGCAAUUCUCACAUUAAAAGAUAUAUACUGACAUGUGCAUUGAUUGGAGACAUAUUGCCGGAAGAUGGGGCAUGGGUGAUGAUGACUGUGAGGAUACAAAGAACUGCAGGUACGUUGGGACUGGACUGCGCCCAUUUCAAGCUCUGUCAGAAGUCAGUGAGGAGACAUUAUGGCUCGCAUCCAGUACCUCGCGGUGCUCCAGAGCGCUCUUCAACCAUUCUGAUCUACCUGCGUGAAGCACGCAACAUAAACUCAACAGCACGUCACCACAUGUGAAAACUGAAGACACUGGCCUCAGCCUCCCAGCGAGCCAAGGCCGAUUUUCCAAAAUUUUAGGUUGACUGCUGCAACCAUUUGGGUCCUGCCCCUUCCAAAAGUUGACUGUAGACAAGGGAAGUAGUUGGCACGUUGAAGGCUCUGAUGAAUGCAAGCUGUGGACAACUACACUUCGGUGGAGGGCCGUUCAAGUUCACGCUCUUUGGGCUGGCACACACCGGUGUGCGCAGAGACCUCCAGCGGUCUAAAGCCUUGGAAAGGAUACUAAUGUGCGAAUUUGGGUAUAUGAAUCCAGUAAUACUUAGUAAUCUUCCAGAGUCUCGUCCGCUGCCUGCGUACCUUACAAGUGCGCUUAGCAAAGGACGUAUGCUCAACUUUUACUGUGCGUCCGAGCUGUUGACGCGGCAGGUGUCCCAAAUAUAAGGUCCAGUCCCGCUGCAGGAGUGUGUUGCUGGCUCCGGCAUCAAGCUUGUGUUCUGAAAGGGUCACUCCUGGAGCCAACC
rnacentral:lncRNA from 1 species